UAGGGAAUCUUCCACAAUGGACGGAAAGUCUGAUGGAGCAACGCCGCGUGAGUGAAGAAGGUUUUCGGAUCGUAAAGCUCUGUUGUUGGUGAAGAAGGAUAGAGGCAGUAACUGGUCUUUGUUUGACGGUAAUCAACCAGAAAGUCACGGCUAACUACGUGCCAC
rnacentral:rRNA from 1 species